UAGGGAAUCUUCGGCAAUGGACGAAAGUCUGACCGAGCAACGCCGCGUGAGUGAAGAAGGUUUUCGGAUCGUAAAACUCUGUUGUUAGAGAAGAACAAGGACGUUAGUAACUGAACGUCCCCUGACGGUAUCUAACCAGAAAGCCACGGCUAACUACGUGCCAGCAGCCGCGGUAAUACGUAGGUGGCAAGCGUUGUCCGGAUUUAUUGGGCGUAAAGCGAGCGCAGGCGGUUUCUUAAGUCUGAUGUGAAAGCCCCCGGCUCAACCGGGGAGGGUCAUUGGAAACUGGGAGACUUGGGUGCAGAAGAGGGGAGUGGAAUUCCAUGUGUAGCGGUGAAAUGCGUAGAUAUAUGGAGGAACACCAGUGGCGAAGGCGGCUCUCUGGUCUGUAACUGACGCUGAGGCUCGAAAGCGUGGGGAGCAAACAGG
rnacentral:rRNA from 1 species